CCCUUAGAUGUUCUGAGCUGCACGCGUGCUACACUGAUAUUGCCAAUAUGUCAUUCUUAUCCGAAAUGGAUUGGGUAAUCAAGUAAUGAAAUUUCAUGCUUGGAAUCGGUAAUUGCAAUUUUAUCGUGAACGAGGAAUUCCUAGUAAGCACUAGUCAUCAGCUAAUGUUGAUUAUGUCCCUGCCCUUUGUACACACCGCCCGUCGCUACUACUGAUUGGGUGUUCAAGUGAGAUGCUUAGACCCUUGUUGCAUGGUUCAUUAUUGUGCUCCGAAAGGAAAAAGUUUCAAGCUUGAGUGUCUAGAGGAAGUAAAAGUCGUAACA
rnacentral:rRNA from 1 species